GGGUAAAAGUCGUAACAAGGUUUCCGUAGGUGAACCUGCGGAAGGAUCAUUAUUGUAUAACCGAGGUGCGAGGGCUGUCGCUGACCCGAAAGGUCGUGCACGCCCGAGUGCCCUCACACACAUCCAUCUCACCCCUAUGUGCACCACCGCGUGGGUCCCCCUUUGGCUUGUUCGGAGGGGGGCUUACGUUUUCACACAAACUUUGUAUGCAGUGUAGAAUGUAUUUUUUGUUUUUGCGAUCACGCAAUCAAUACAACUUUCAACAACGGAUCUCUUGGCUCUC
rnacentral:misc_RNA from 1 species